rnacentral:rRNA from 1 species
GACGAACGCUGGCGGCGUGCUUAACACAUGCGAGUCGAACGCUGAAGCUCAGCUUUUGUUGGGUGGAUGAGUGGCGAACGGGUGAGUAACACGUGAGUAACCUGCCCCCUUCUUUGGGAUAACGCCCGGAAACGGGUGCUAAUACUGGAUAUUCACUGGUCUUCGCAUGGGGGUUGGUGGAAAGGGUUUUUCUGGUGGGGGAUGGGCUCGCGGCCUAUCAGCUUGUUGGUGGGGUGAUGGCCUACCAAGGCUUUGACGGGUAGCCGGCCUGAGAGGGUGACCGGUCACAUUGGGACUGAGAUACGGCCCAGACUCCUACGGGAGGCAGCAGUGGGGAAUAUUGCACAAUGGGCGCAAGCCUGAUGCAGCGACGCCGCGUGAGGGAUGGAGGCCUUCGGGUUGUGAACCUCUUUCGCUAAUGGUCAAGCCGCAACAAUGGUUGUGGUGAGGGUAGUGGGUAAAGAAGCGCCGGCUAACUACGUG